UAGGGAAUAUUGCGCAAUGGACGAAAGUCUGACGCAGCCACGCCGCGUGAGUGAGGAAGGCCUUCGGGUUGUAAAGCUCUGUCGCCUGGGAAAAACGGCUAUUGGGGGAAAGUUCCAGUAGCGUGAUGGUACCAGGAGAGGAAGCACCGGCAAACUCAGUGCCAGCAGCCGCGGUAAUACAGAGGGUGCAAGCGUUGUUCGGAAUUACUGGGCGUAAAGCGUGCGUAGUCGGUAUUGAGAGUCGCGGGUGAAAUCCCAGGGCUUAACCCUGGAACUGCCUGCGAGACCUCAGUACUAGAGUGUGAGAGGGGAUAGUGGAAUACCCAGUGUAGCGGUGAAAUGCGUAGAGAUUGGGUGGAACACCGGUGGCGAAGGCGGCUAUCUGGCUCACAACUGACGAUCAGGCACGAAAGCGUGGGGAGCAAACAGG
rnacentral:rRNA from 2 species